rnacentral:rRNA from 1 species
ACUGCUCAGUAACACGUGGACAACCUAACCUACAGAGGGGGAUAACCCCGGGAAACUGGGGAUAAUACCCCAUAGACUAUGGAUGCUGGAAUGCUUCGUAGUUGAAAGGUCCGCCGCUGUAGGAUGGGUCUGCGGCCGAUUAGGUUGUUGUUGGGGUAACGGCCCAACAAGCCUGUAAUCGGUACGGGUUGUGGGAGCAAGAGCCCGGAGAUGGAUUCUGAGACACGAAUCCAGGCCCUACGGGGCGCAGCAGGCGCGAAAACUUUGCAAUGCGGGAAACCGUGACAAGGGAACUCUGAGUGCCCGUUAAAUCGGGCUGUCCAUCGGUGUAAAAAACCGGUGAAGAAAGGGCCGGGCAAGACCGGUGCCAGCCGCCGCGGUAAUACCGGCGGCUCGAGUGGUGGCCACUAUUACUGGGCUUAAAGCGUUCGUAGCUGGUUUGUUAAGUCUCUGGGGAAAUCUUCCGGCUCAACCGGAAGGCGUCUCAGGGAUACUGGCAGACUAGGGACCGGGAGAGGUGAGAGGUACUCCAGGGGUAGGAGUGAAAUCCUGUAAUCCUUGGGGGACCACCUGUGGCGAAGGCGUCUCACCAGAACGGCUCCGACAGUGAGGGACGAAAGCUGGGGGAGCAAACCGGAUUAGAUACCCGGGUAGUCCCAGCUGUAAACGAUGCGCGUUAGGUGUAUCGGUGACCACGAGUCACCGAGGUGCCGAAGAGAAAUCGUGAAACGUGCCGCCUGGGAAGUACGGUCGCAAGGCUGAAACUUAAAGGAAUUGGCGGGGGAGCA